rnacentral:rRNA from 1 species
GCACGGGUGCGUAACGCGUAUGCAACCUACCUUUUACUAGAGUAUAGCCCAGAGAAAUUUGGAUUAAUCCUCUAUAACAUCUUUUAAUUUCAUGAUUUUAAGAUUAAAGUUUUAACGGUAAAAGAUGGGCAUGCGUCCUAUUAGUUUGUAGGUGAGGUAACGGCUCACCUAGACUACGAUAGGUAGGGGCCCUGAGAGGGGGAUCCCCCACACUGGUACUGAGACACGGACCAGACUCCUACGGGAGGCAGCAGUAAGGAAUAUUGGACAAUGGACGAAAGUCUGAUCCAGCCAUGCCGCGUGCAGGAUGACAGCCCUACGGGUUGUAAACUGCUUUUAUACAGGAAGAAACACUCCGACGUGUCGG